GCAGAGCGGAGGGGCGCGAGGGGCGGAACGGAGCGCUGGAGGCGGGGGAGGAGAGGCCCCCGGGACCAGGAGCAGCAGCUGGGGAGGGGGCCUCGGAGCCGGAGCACGAGCAAAACAGCUGAUAUGGUUUUCUUUUAAAGCUAGGGAAAAUAGAAGUCGGGUAGAGGUGACUGCAAUGCUGCGGGCUGGCCGAUCGGAGCAGCGCAGCGCGGCAGUUAUUGGCGGGCACAACAUCUCUGUUUGUAUGUGGUGCUGAGGAUCGAACCUGGGCCGCACGCAUGCCAGCCUAGCUCUCCUGGAGUGACCCUGAGUGUUUUUGUCACGAGGAACAUGACAGUGUACUGCCCCUGGGCGGAUGCAAAGCACAGAGAAGUCCCAUCUCCCCGCACUGACCGUGCAUUCAAGCAGCCCAGCACCAUUCUAGUAGCUUAUUUAUCGAACUGGGAUGAAGAAUUUCAAAAUUUCCUUUGGAAUGAAAUUAAAGUGCCCAUCUCUCUCCAGAGCUGUUGAGGAGAACUCGGCUGUGAGACACCUCUGAGCUUAUGCAGGAGGCUGGUGCAGAACAGAGAUGCUGGGGCUCAGGAGGAAGGGCCAUGGUCCUUGGAAAUCAGCCAGGCCUCUGGAGGACCAAAGCUGACUUCUCACCACAUACAUUUCACCUGCUUCCAACCAGAUGGACUCAAUGUUCCCACAUCGGCCAUGAAGUUUAGCACAAGAAAGCACAGAGCAAACGAGCAAAUGGCACUUUAGAAAACAAGACACCACAACUGCAAUCUGAGGGUAAACAACAAGAAAUAACCCACAGGAGGCCCUGUGACAGGGCCACCCUCUGGGAGGGCAGCCUGCAGGGAAACUCUGUGCUCCUGGGCUUGGGCUGAAGAGGCACUGCCCUCACACUGCCCCCUGCUGGCGAGACACCACACCCCAGCUCCCAGAGCCGCCUCCUCCCUGACUGGAGUCUGCUCCCCAGCUCUGCUGACCGCUGGCUGGACCUUUCCUUAUUUUAACAGACAUGAAAACUAGGUUCAAACCGUAAAGGGCUCUUUGUGGGCUCAAGAGCCAGGGCACGAGACGGGACCCGGCUUCCUGUCAGUCCUGGAUGUAGAGAUCAACCGAUUGUGGGAGGCACCAAUUCUCCAUUUCUAUGCCUUUCAUAUAUUUUGAUGAGUUGGUUAAACUUUCACUGAAAAUUUACUUAAAUUCCUUUGCUUGAAGUAAAUGUGAAAAUGGAUAUUAUGUGUGCUGGGUAAGGAAAGGAUUAUUUAAUUCUGUCUGGUCCAUUCCCUGGAGCAUCUUGGCUUUCCCUGGGUGGUUGGCAUCUCACCCCUUCAUCUCUUUGCUUUUGCCAGGGGCGAGUCACACUGCAGCCAGCCCUGCACAGAGCAGGGAUCUCCGCACUGGCCCUGGGCCUGCUGGGCAAGCAGGGAAGCCCCAGGUGAGCUGGCGGUCUGUGCGCAGACACAGAGGUCACUGCAGAAUACCAAGGAGGGCCUGCUGUGUUCUGUCCCUUCUUGCAACUUAUUGCCCUUCUCCAACCCAAACAGCCGGGACGCUCGGGCUCACUGCCCUGGACUGUCACACAGUGAUCAUUCAAACACAAAGCAAAUGAGCCAGGACCCGGCUCAGAUUUGAUUAAAACUCAAAUGUUGAAACUCCAACAGAGGCCCAAGCUCCUGAAAGAAAAAGUGAUAUCAAUUGUAAGAAUGUGAGCCUCUUCAAACUUUCAAGUUUUCAUCUAAACAAUAGGUAAAAAGCAAUGGGUUUUUUCCAAGCUCACUCAGAAUCUAGAUUCCACAAAGAUCCUGUGUGCGUGGGGCAGUGGGUGUCAUCUCAGAAGGAGAAGAAGGUGGGCUUUGCCCAUUUGCUUCCUGGGGUGGUGGACGGGACGGCAUUGGAGAGUCCAGAUUGGAAGCCCUGAGCCCUCUGCCUCUGCAGCUGUGUGUACAUCAGACACUGUGUCACCCUGGCAUUGAAGAGGGGGUAGGGUCAUGCACAUCUUCUGCAAGGGGCUGGGGACAUAAUCCCUGCCCUUCUCCUCCUGUGAGGGGCAGCCAUACUGUCCUUUGUGAUUGAGGAUGAUGGAUACCCUGGACAGCUGGUCAACCAGGUUGGUCUCAGAGGGAGAUCAAGGACUGGGUCACCUUAUGGCUGGGACAGGGGAGAGGACUAGAAGGCAAAGUGAAUAGCUCUAGGGAGGUCAGGAGGGCUGAGGUUCAGACAGAUCACUCCAUCUUGUGGGCACCAGAGCUGAGCAGCAGACACUGAGAGCUAGCAACCCCCCACCUCAGUUCUUCUUAAGCCUCUGAAAGUUAGAGCCUAGUCUGUGGAGAAGACGGAAGGGGCUGAGGAGCACAGGAAUCAGCCUGAACUGCUUGGUAGCCCCAGCGCUCAUGAGAUGAUGCCUUCAGCAGUUCGACAGAGUUGGGCUAGACUAAGAAUCCUGACCUGUGCACAUUCAGGAAGACACACGCACACACUCACACCCACGUGCACACACACCUGUGGAUUAGAACUCGGUAUGUGAUACUCGUGAUACAAAUCCAAAGACACAGCAGUAAGGGGUCUUUUUUUAAUUUUCCAUGAUUCCACUAUAGAAGCGGAGCCAGUAGGUCCAUUUCUGUGUUAUACAUAUCCAUGAACACAACUGUGGCCAGUACCCCGUGCCCUUAUGUUCCUCCUGCACCUUUCCAGAUGACCUGGGAGGCCCUGAACCUCUAAGGUGGGAUCCAGCUAGCCGCUGAGACCCUGGAGCCCAUGGCUGUGACUUCCUAACAGAGACUGAAACUUGUCAGCAAGUUACGACCAAAUAAAGACCUUCACGUGGCCAACUUAAUAAUACAUAAUCUCAGAGCUAGAGCCUUCUUCUAAAUUACAAUCUCAGGUUUUGAAAACUGUCACCAUGUUGCAAAGCAAAUAUCCACAGGUUCAGAUGCAGAAUUUAAAUGUACAGAUCUCUGCAUUCAGUGAAAAAAUGAUGCUAUUUUUAUGAUGCUUCUAACAAACCAAUGAUUAGCCAGAAUACAAUUAAGAACUAAACUGAAGUUGGAGCUGUGGAACAUAUUUGAAUUAUAAACAAAGCAGGAAGUCACUUUGCAUUUCUUCUAAGACCUCGAUGAGCUUAGGAUGCUGAAAUGCCUUCGUGCGAAUUCACAUGUACAAUUAAACUGAGAUAUACACAAAACUGAUUUAUGAAAAGUUAAUAUUUUUGGAAAAGUCGUUCUGCAUGUAUCAUCGCCUCACAAUGUGCUAAGACACAUAUUUCACAAUAUCAGAAAUUUAUCCCAAGUUUAUUGCAGCCUUUAUAAUACUCUAAAUAACUCCAGUAAUAGUUGCAUCAGCAAAAAAAAUCCUUCUCAAAAUUAAAAACUAUCAAAAUUAAUUUGCACUUGCCAAGAGCAACUGACAUCGUUUUCAUUUAUAACUAUUGGAAACAUGAAACAAUAUACAUUUUUAUUAUCUAACAAUGAAUUUCCAGAAAAGCAAGCCAGAAAAAUGUAUGACCAGUCCAGAUAUCACAUUAUCAAGUAUUAUCUAUGGUAUUGUAUAAAAUUAUGACACAUGACCUUUUCCUAGAUAACAUGUUUUUAAAGGAAAUAGCUUUAGGUUUUGUAAUUUUGACUUCAGUUUUCUUCCUGAUUUUUAUACAAAGAGUUGCAUGUUUCCAUUUGCUGCCUGAUCAAGCUGGGGAGAGAAGACCAGGAAGAGUGGCGAGAGAGUGAAGUGGCGUGAGAGUCAGCAGAGUGGGGGAGGGGUGGGGAGAGACAGGGGUGGCAGGAGGAUGCAAACCUGACAGUGGCUGGGACAAACCACAGGGAGGGCACUCAGCACCGCUCAUGCACAUGUGGAUGGAUUUUAGGAAAUAAAGCGGAGACCAAUAUUUGUUGUUGCAUUAUAGGCAGUUCUAAUCAGAGACACUGUUACUGCUUGUCCAAAUGGAAGAUUGCCAAGGAGACAAUAUUUCCUAAAACAUGGAGAAAUGUCAGCCGUUUCCAAGCCCAUGAUGCUUAAGCCAUGAGGAAGGCAAGCACAUGAAGAGAAGGACAAUCUGCUGGCAAGCAGGAACCCCAUUAAUAAGGAGAGGACUGUGAAUAUAUUGAAGAACAUGAAAGUCAAUAUAAAUGCAGGUUUGGGCGAUCAUAGUCACCCAGGACCUGCUUAUC